rnacentral:misc_RNA from 1 species
UACGAGUGCCCCAAGCGUUAUCCGGAAUCAUUGGGCGUAAAGGGUGUGUAGGUGGUUCUAUUAGUCUUCUGUCAAAUUUCCCGGCUUAACCGGGAAUCUGCAGAGGAAACGGUAGGACUAGAGGGUGCGAGGGGUGAAUGGAACUUAUGGAGUAGGGGUGAAAUCCGUUGAUAUCAUGGGGAACACCAAAAGCGAAGGCAAUUCACUGGCGCAUUCCUGACACUGAGACACGAAAGCGUGGGUAGCGAACGGG